CUUGAACGCAGGAGGUGGAGGUUGCAGUGAGCCGAGAUCCUGCCACUCUGCCACUGUAUUCCAGCCUGGGUGACAGCGAGACUCUGUCUCAAAACAAACAAACAAACAAAAACCUGAACCUCAGCCCUAUCCGCACGCAUACAAGCACACCCCUCCAAUCCGUUACUAAGGCCUAUUGGUUGUAAUUUCAUUCUCCUGCAACCACCCACUUCUUCCCGUUUCCAUGGCCACCAUCCUUGUCCAAACCACCAGCAUCUUGUGCUAGAACAACUGUACUAGACAACUGGCUGUUCUGCUCCGUCCUGCCCACUUUGAUCCACC
rnacentral:lncRNA from 1 species